CCGCCAUGAUGACCACUUAGGACACCUUUGGAUCAAACCAUGAAAAUAACACGUUAAUCUGAGCGGU
rnacentral:snoRNA from 1 species